UACGAAGGGGGCUAGCGUUGCUCGGAAUCACUGGGCGUAAAGGGCGCGUAGGCGGGCAUUCAAGUCUGUGGUGAAAUCCUCCAGCUCAACUGGAGAACUGCCAUGGAUACUGGGUGUCUCGAGGGUAGUAGGGGUAUGCGGAACUAUCGGUGGAGCGGUGAAAUGCGUUGAUAUCGAUAGGAACUCCGGUGGCGAAGGCGGCAUACUGGACCACAUCUGACGCUGGAGGCGCGAAAGCCAGGGAGCGAACGGG
rnacentral:rRNA from 1 species